GCCCCGGUAGCCCAACUGGCAGAGGCAGUCGACUUAAAAUCGACACAGUGCGGGUUCGAUCCCCGUCCGGGGCACCA
rnacentral:tRNA from 6 species